AUUUUUUUUAUUUUAUCAUCUUAAUAAAAUUAUUAAAUCUGUUUUUAUCAAUUUAAUAUCUGAUAUGUCCUUUAUUUGAGGACUGUAUAUUAAAUUGAUUUUUGGAACAGGGGGAUGGACUAGGAGCUUGCUCUGUCCACCCCAUGCAUCGCCCUGGUAUUGCACUGCCUCCAGGAACGGAGGGGGAAAA
rnacentral:snRNA from 1 species